GUUUCUCGGUCGCUGUCGUCGGUGUUGGCAAAGAGGCGAACCCUCGCUUCUCCUCCUGCUCUUCCACUCUCGAGGGUUUCUGGGUGGAUUCGUCUCGGGCUUCUUCGAUCGGUCCGGCGACGUUGAGGUCACCGGUUUCUAGGGUUCGUUUGGAAGAAGAAUCGCUCAUCCGAUGCUUUAAUUUUGAUCCCCUUUCUCCAAUUUCGCAUCGUUCUUCGAUUUGGACAUGGGAGAUUGGCUGGAGCUCUGCCAGGCCGUGAUCAUCGGCCUCGUCUGCUCCUUUCUCAUAGCGAAGCUCAUCUCCGUUGCCAUCUCCUUCAAGGAGGACAACCUCAGGGUCGUGCGCGAGCAUGAACUGACCUCCCACACCCCGGGCGACGGUGGGCCUUCGUUGCUUGAUGUUUCGGAGAAGGCGGGAGAAGUAACGGCGCUCUUGGGCAAGGAGAAGGAGAGUCUUUUGGAUGACGACAGUGAUUGGGAAGGGAUCGAGAGCACGGAAUUGGAUGAAACCUUCAGUGCUGCCACAGCUUUUGUCGCUGCAACGGCUGCUGACAAGAAUUCUGCUAAGGUUUCAAAUGAUGUGCAGCUGCUGUUGUAUGGGCUGUACAAGAUUGCAACCGAGGGGCCGUGCACUGUGCCUCAGCCAUCUGCGCUAAAGAUGACUGCUCGUGCGAAGUGGAAUGCCUGGCGGAGAUUGGGUACUAUGCCCCCAGAAGAUUCUAUGCAGAUGUACAUCAUGAUUAUCAGUGAGCUAUACCCUUCUUGGGCAGAUGGUUCCACCAAGAAAAAGAAUGACAAAGAUACUUUGCCAUCUAGUUCAACUGCAAAGGGAACUAUGGGGCCAGUUUUUAGCAGCUUUGUGCAUGAGGAAGAGUCAGAAACUGAUUCAAAGUUGGAACCAAUACAUGGGUUUGCUAGAGACGGAGAAGCUGAUGCGCUAUUGGCUCUUAUUGCUAAUGGUGCUUUGGUGAAUUCUAGAGAUAGUGAAGGGAGGACUCCACUGCACUGGGCUGUAGAUCGUGGACAUUUUAGGGUUGUGGAAAUCCUUCUUAACAAGGAUGCAGAUGUGAAUGCUAAGGAUAACGAUGGACAGACCCCACUGCAUUACGCCGUCCUGUGCGAAAGAGAAGAAAUUGCUGAGCUGCUCAUCGAACACCACGCUGAUCAGCAUAUAAAGGAUAGCGAUGGCAGCUCACCACUUGAUCUAUGCGGAUCUCGAUGGGAUUUCAUGGCGACUUCAAAAUAAACAUUCUUCCAUCAACAAAUGUUGGAAGAUUUCAGUUGACUACAUUUAGAUGUUCACCAGCCUCCGAUGUUUACCGUGAAGUGCUGCAAUGAGGAAUUUGAACCAAAAAUUGCUGCAUGAGGAGGGAAGAUAGGCCAUUCACAGCCGUCCAUUUUGUUGAACGCGAAUGCAUCGACACUCGUUAGAUCAAGAAACUUACACGAUCGAAGGCAAGAUGCGUAUUCUUGAUCUUGAACUUAAUCUGAUUCCAACUACUGAAGUGAGCCCUGAUCUUAUUCGAAAUGACAAAUCCAGACUGUAUGAUUUUUUGUGUUUUCUGACGGAUGGAUUUAAUUAUUUAAUAUAUUCUUAUAUUUAAGGGU